CAAUAGCGUAUAUUUAAGUUGCUGCAGUUAAAAAGCUCGUAGUUGGAUUUCGGGUGGGAAUGGCCGGUCCGCCGUUUCGGUGUGCACUUGCUACGCCCACCUUGCUGCCGGGGACGUGCUCUUGAGUUCACGCUCGGGACACGGAGUCGGCGAGGUUACUUUGAGUAAAUUAGAGUGUUCAAAGCAGGCCUACGCUCUGAAUACAUUAGCAUGGAAUAACACGAUAGGACUCUGGCCUAUCUUGUUGGUCUGUAGGACCGGAGUAAUGAUUAAGAGGGACAGUCGGGGGUAUUCGUAUUUCAUUGUCAGAGGUGAAAUUCUUGGAUUUAUGAAAGACGAACUACUGCGAAAGCAUUUGCCAAGGAUGUUUUCAUUAA
rnacentral:rRNA from 1 species